rnacentral:rRNA from 1 species
UACGUAGGGGGCAAGCGUUGUCCGGAUUUAUUGGGCGUAAAGAGCGUGUAGGCGGCCAGGGAGGUCCGUUGUGAAAACUCGAGGCUCAACCUCGAGACGCCGAUGGAAACCCCCUGGCUAGAGUCCGGAAGAGGAGAGUGGAAUUCCUGGUGUAGCGGUGAAAUGCGCAGAUAUCAGGAGGAACACCUAUUGCGAAGGCAGCUCGCUGGGACGUUACUGACGCUGAGACGCGAAAGCGUGGGGAGCAAACAGG